rnacentral:rRNA from 1 species
UACGGAGGGUGCAAGCGUUAUCCGGAUUCACUGGGUUUAAAGGGCGCGCAGGCGGGCUGGUAAGUCUGUGGUGAAAUACCCGUGCUUAACAUGGGAACUGCCAUUGAUACUAUUGGUCUUGAAUAUCGUUGAGGUUUGCGGAAUGGGUCAUGUAGCGGUGAAAUGCAUAGAUAUGACCCGGAACACCUAUUGCGAAGGCAGCAGGCUAAGCGAAGAUUGACGCUGAGGCUCGAAAGCGUGGGGAUCAAACAGG